GUUCCCUGUGAUGGUUCAAAAUAAUCAUGCUAAGUAUAUCUGAUUGUUCUCUGACUGAAAGAUUUACUUUUUUUCUUGAGGGAACU